rnacentral:rRNA from 1 species
GAUGAACGCUAGCGGCAGGCCUAAUACAUGCAAGUCGAACGAUACCAGAGAGCUUGCUUUCUGGGAAAGUGGCGCACGGGUGCGUAACGCGUAUGCAACCUACCUUAAUCAGGGGGAUAGCCUCUCGAAAGAGAGAUUAACACCGCAUAAAAUCACACUUCGGCAUCGAAGAAUGAUCAAAUAUUUAUAGGAUUAAGAUGGGCAUGCGUGACAUUAGCUAGUUGGUAAGGUAACGGCUUACCAAGGCUACGAUGUCUAGGGGAUCUGAGAGGAUGACCCCCCANACUGGUACUGAGACACGGACCAGACUCCUACGGGAGGCAGCGAGUAAGGAAUAUUGGUCAAUGGGGGCAACCCCUGAACCAGCCAUGCCGCGUGCAGGAAGACGGCCCUACGGGUUGUAAACUGCUUUUAUACGGGAAUAAAUCUCGCUACGUGUAGUGAGUUGAAUGUACUGUAAGAAUAAGGAUCGGCUAACUCCGUGCCAGCAGCCGACGG